rnacentral:rRNA from 1 species
UACGUAGGGUGCAGGCGUUAAUCGGAAUUACUGGGCGUAAAGCGUGCGCAGGCGGUUUGCUAAGAGAGAUGUGAAAUCCCCGGGCUUAACCUGGGAACUGCGUUUCUAACUGGCAGGCUUGAGUGUGGCAGAGGGGGGUGGAAUUCCACGUGUAGCAGUGAAAUGCGUAGAUAUCUGGAGGAACACCGGUGGCGAAGGCGGCAUCCUGGACCGACACUGACGCUGAGGAGCGAAAGCCAGGGGAGCAAACGGG